rnacentral:tRNA from 1 species
GCCAAUUUAGUCUAGUGGUUAAGGCACCAGUUUAGAAACCAGGAGACUGUGAGUUCCAGCCCCAUCUUAGGCA